UAGGGAAUCUUCGGCAAUGGACGAAAGUCUGACCGAGCAACGCCGCGUGAGUGAAGAAGGUUUUCGGAUCGUAAAACUCUGUUGUUAGAGAAGAACAAGGACGUUAGUAACUGAACGUCCCCUGACGGUAUCUAACCAGAAAGCCACGGCUAACUACGUGCCAGCAGCCGCGGUAAUACGUAGGUGGCAAGCGUUGUCCGGCUUUAUUGGUCGUAAAGCGAGCGCAGGCGGUUUCUUGAGUCUGAUGUGAAAGCCCCCGGCUCCACCGGGGGGGGUCAUUGGGAACUGGGAGGGGUGAGUGCGGAAGGGGGGAGUGGAAUUCGGUGUGUGGCGGUGAAAGGCGUAGAUAUAAGGAGAAAAACAAGUGGCGAGGGAGGCUCUCUGGUCUGUAACUGACGCUGAGGCUCGAAAGCGUGGGGAGCAAACAGG
rnacentral:rRNA from 1 species